ensembl:snRNA U2 U2 spliceosomal RNA
AUAGCUUCUCAGUCUUUUGGAUAAGAUCAAGCAUGGUAGCUGGGUUUUUUUUUAAAAUCAGUUUAAUAAAUUCUCCAUUUGAAAGGGCUAUAUUAAAUGGGCUUUUGAAACUAGGGAAUGAAUAGGAAUUUGUUCUGUUCAUUUCAUACAUUGUCCUGGUUUUGCAGUAUUUCCAGGGGCAGUGUCCCCCAA